rnacentral:lncRNA from 1 species
AUGCUGAUUGAGUUCUGCUCUCGUCACUCCUCAGGAACCCAGCCACUCUUGCACCGGGAGGCAGGAAGAGCAUUUCUUGCCAUGGUCCUCUUGCAAGGAGAUUGCCAUGCAAGGACGGAGAAACCGCAAAGGAGGAGCACAAUGCUCAGGACUCUGGUUUUCUGCGAUUGGCUCUUCCAAACAGCUUUUUAUCCCAGUAACUAUCUACCAAAACUAAAGUAAUAAAAAUCCUGUGAGAAAAACAGAUCAGACAAUGAUUCCCAUGCCAUGGAUGAAGAAACUGAGCCUAAGAGUUUCACACUUGCCCCAAAUAACACAAUGACUCAUUGACAAAGAUAAACCAAUAAAUAAAUAAAGCGGGGUUUCCAGUCUUUUCAGUUUGUUGUUCCUUGGCUAGAUAUGACUAUUUGCUGACUGUUUCCAGGGUCCGCAAGCCUGCACCUCUUCCUCCAGCUCAAUUAUCUGAAAACCGAAAGAGUAGAAAAUCGAAAAUGAGAUGGAGGUCAGCGGGGACGUGGGGCCAUGGAUGGCUGCCAUUCCUUGCUUUCUUUUUCAGAAGCCAAAAUUGACAUUGCCCUUUGCUCAGUGACAGCCCCUAGCCCGCGGCGCAACUCCUGGCGUCUGCAGGGGUCCGCACAUUUCAGGAGCUUCCAGCUGCCACUUCUCCUCCGAGGGGUCUCCAGACGCAGAGCUCCGCCAAGUUGGAGCGGAGCAAGGGUGGCCCUGGAGUCGGUGCCAAAGCCUCACUGGGUGCACCGCCCAGAAAGCUGCUUCCUCUAUCUCUGUGAGCGCGGCUGCUCCUCCCGGACCUCUGCAGACUUCAGGGAGACUUGUGGGCAGCCAAGGAACCGCAGGGCCGCUCUGGAGUCCCAGAGAAUUGACUACGCGGAGCCAAGGCUUUCCCCAGUUCCCUCGCGGGUUAACAGUCAGUGCCAGGGAGAAGAGCAGGGCUCUCCCUACCCCCUCCCCAAGUGUGCCCGGGCGUGCUUCCAUCUGAUUAGAAUGUUUCUUCCAUCUGAUUAGAAUGACAGUAGCUUUCAAGUCAUUCAUUUUGAGAAGAAUUUUAGUCUUAAAAGAAAAAAAGACAGUCUCACUGUAAUUGUGAGUUGUAAUAAAUGCAAACUUCUGGUGCCUUCCUCUGCAGUAUGUAAGACAGUAAAAAAUGUGUCUCGUCCAAACUCACCCCCUUCCCAAGCCCAUUGUGAAGUCAAUCGCUAACAAAGGGGACGUGUGAAUAUUCAACACCGAGUCUUUCAGUUGUUAUUUUCCAGAAUCCCUGAGUUGGCCUUUUUUUUUUUAAUUUAAUGGGCGAAUACCUGUUUAAGUUUUUAAAGCACAUGGAAAUCGCCCGCGAGCGACCAUAUAAUUUGAUUUGCCAGGCAAUCUGCAGAGCGAUCGCACAUCAUUUAUAAUGUUCAUUGAGCAUUUUGCCUAAUUGUGUCUGUCUCUGAAAGGGCAGCGCACCCCCUCCCGACCGCGAGCAGCACAAGUGGCGACAUUCCCAUGGAGCGGCCGCGCCGCAGCUUGCCACAUUCAGCGCGGGCGGCAGGGCCGCGCGCUUCCCCGCCCGGGAGACCGGGCGUGCCUGACGCUAAUAGCUCGCGGCUCAGGUACGAGCGGGCGCCGCAUUUGACUCCAUUCAAUUCGCAACCGGCCGCGCUUGCAGGUGUCGCCUUUUGAAACCUCCAUUCAGGCGGCCGCUGUUCACUUCUCGCUGCGCUGCGGGUUUUGUAGAAGCGCAAGAAUGGGGCUGAUUAUUCCUGUGCCC